UUUCUCCUACGUGGCAACCAGGUCGUGUUUUCUUUCCUCUCCCCUCCAAAUCAGCACACACACAUAGGCACAGCACAUUUUAUAUUGCCAUGUCAGCAUCUCUUCCUCCUAAAAUUAAAACCCUAUUUCAAUUAAUUCUUCUUUCUCCCUCAUCUCCAUUCUCGCCGCCGCCUCCACCACCCCUGCUCCAUUCACAUUGUCGUUGCUCUGUUCACGCUUCCAUAGUCUCCACUAGCCUUCUACACUCCCCGCCACUAGGAAUAGGAAGAAUCUAAGAGUGAUGCCGUUGCUCCGAUUGCUGGAACGCCUUUAAUGCUUCUACCGCUGGAAUACCACUAUCGGUCUAAUGGGUUUGUUUGAUGUCGCUUCCAGUCUUAACACUGGUUCGUUAUCUCUCCAUCCACAAAUUCAACGGCUGAGUUAAAUGAUUGUUUUUUAAUCUUGUUCCAUAGUGAGAAAACAAAACUCUCUGGCGUCGCCGGCUGCAAAGAACAAACAGAUAACGGGCCGAGUUACAGGAGGCCGGUGAACGAGUUUAAACUCAAAGUAUAUGCAGAUCGAAUGUCCCAGCCUUCACUUGUAGUUCUCAUCUUAUGCAAAGCUUGCAUUUGAAUGGUUUUUUGGAAGCUGAAAUCAACCCAGCUGAUGCAGGGAACCCAGUUGGUGAUAAACAAAUUGUUAGUUAAGUGAAAAGAUAAUUGAUUUAAAUUAUCACAUUCUACCUUUAGUAUUGAAAAUUAUAGUGCUGGACAUCCAUCAUGUUGUGAUUUUGAUAUUUGUAUGUAAAAUAUAUUUUAGGAGUUAUUGUUGAAUGGUAAAUUUGAGAUUUUAAAAAGAAUUCUAAGUUUAUGUUUGGUGUUUAAUGGAAGAAUUCUAGAUUUAAUCUUGGGGAA